CCAGUUGGACCUGAAAAUACAUUGCCUGGAGUCAGUUGUUCCUGAGCCACUUCUGAUAGCAACAGCUGUCGAGUGGGGCUGAAAGACGAAGGCCUGGUUCCUCUGUGACUUGGAAGUUCUACCACCACAUCAGUGUCACAGUACCUAGGACUCUGUGGGACUUUGGGCACCAGAUCCCUUUCUCCAGGGGACAGAGAGAGGCGUCCACUGCUCCUACUGCAGGAAAUGUUAUUCCAGUUCAUGACUGUGCUAGCUGGCUGCCGUGAGAUCCCUGGGAACGACGUG
rnacentral:lncRNA from 1 species